UUGAACGCUGGCGGCAGGCCUAACACAUGCAAGUCGAGCGGAUGAAGGGAGCUUGCUCCUGGAUUCAGCGGCGGACGGGUGAGUAAUGCCUAGGAAUCUGCCUGGUAGUGGGGGAUAACGUCCGGAAACGGGCGCUAAUACCGCAUACGUCCUGAGGGAGAAAGUGGGGGAUCUUCGGACCUCACGCUAUCAGAUGAGCCUAGGUCGGAUUAGCUAGUUGGUGGGGUAAAGGCCUACCAAGGCGACGAUCCGUAACUGGUCUGAGAGGAUGAUCAGUCACACUGGAAAUGAGACACGGUCCAGACUCCUACGGGAGGCAGCAGUGGGGAAUAUUGGACAAUGGGCGAAAGCCUGAUCCAGCCAUGCCGCGUGUGUGAAGAAGGUCUUCGGAUUGUAAAGCACUUUAAGUUGGGAGGAAGGGCAGUAAGUUAAUACCUUGCUGUUUUGACGUUACCAACAGAAUAAGCACCGGCUAACUUCGUG
rnacentral:rRNA from 1 species